UAUAGAGAGUAAUCCGACAGGAGCCUAUGAACCUUGUCAGGUCCGGAAGGAAGCAGCAAUAAGUAGAUACUUUUGUGUGGAGUGCUCUCUAUAGAG
rnacentral:SRP_RNA from 1 species